rnacentral:rRNA from 1 species
CCCUUAGAUGUCCUGGGCCGCACGCGCGCUACACUGAGUGUCUGAGAUACGAGUCUGCCUGGUCCGGCAAGGUCUAGGUAAUCGCUAAAAGACACAUCAUGCUUGGGAUAGAUUAUUGCAAAUAUUAAUCUUGAACGAGGAAUUCCUAGUAAGCGCAAUUCAACAGCUUGCGUUGAUUACGUCCCUGCCCUUUGUACACACCGCCCGUCGCUACUACUGAUUGGAUGUUUAAGCGAGGUUCUCGAACUGCUAGCGACUUAGCUUCGGUGAGGUCGCAGUGUGGGAAGUGAACCUAGCUUUGGUGUCUAGAGGAAGUAAAAGUCGUAACA